UCUAACAGACAUACCCUGACAGAGCUGUUUGCUUUGGAGCUGGUCGGAUGAUUAAGUUGUCACACGCUGUACAGAUUUGAUCGAUUUGGUGUCUGAAAGGGCGUUUUAUGGCGUUGAUGGUUUUGAAUGUAAAAGGAAGGACAGUGUAAUGACUGAGAACACAUUCUCAUUUACAGCAACAAUCUGGGGAAUAGUUACAGGAGGGUGAAUGAGCCAAUUGGAAUCUGGGGAUGAUUAGGUGGCCAUAAUGGUAUGAGGGCCGGAUUGGGAACUUAUCCAGGACACUGGGGUUAACACCCCUACAAUAAGUGCCAUGGGAUCUUUAGUGACCACAGAGAGUCAGAACACCUGUUUAAUGUCCCAUCUGAAAGACAGCACUCUACACAGGGCAAUGUCCCCAAUCACUGCCCUGGGGGAUUGGGAUUCUUUUUUUAAAUGUUAUUUUUUAGACCAGAGGAAAGAGUGCCUCCUACUGGCCCUCCAACACCACUUCCAGCAGCAUCUGGUCUCCCAUCCAGGACCAACCCUGCUCUGCUUCAGAGGCAAGCCAGCAGUGGGAUGCAGGGUGGUAUGCUGCUGGCAAUGUCUUAGAGGAGUCUGUUGCCUUUUUAAACUGCUUGCACACCCAAACACCCCUUCACACACCCAAACACCCCACACACACAUACCCAAACACCCCCCACACACACACCCAAACACCCCCCACACACACACACACUCAAACACCCCCCCCCCCACACACACCCAAACACCCCCUACACACAUACCCAAACACCCCCCCACACACAUACCCAAACACCCCACACACACACACCCAAACACCCCACACACACAUACCCAAACACCCCACACACACAUACCCAAACACCCCACACACACAUACCCAAACACCCCACACACACACACACCCAAACACCCCCCCCACACACAUACCCAAACACCCCCCCCACACACAUACCCAAACACACCCCACACACACACCCAAACACCCCCCCACACACACACCCAAACACCCCCCCCACACACAUACCCAAACACCCCACACACACAUACCCAAACACCCCACACACACAUACCCAAACACCCCACACACACAUACCCAAACACCCCACACACACAUACCCAACACCCACACACAUAUACCCAAACACCCCACACACAUACCCAAGCACACCCCACACACACACCCAAACACCCCCCCACACACACACCCAAACACCCCCCCCACACACACCCAAACACCCCCCCACACACACCCAAACACCCCCCCCACACACAUACCCAAACACCCCCCCACACACAUACCCAAACACACCCCACCCACACACAUACCCAAACACACCCCACCCAAACACACCCAAACACACCCCACCCAAACACACCCAAACACCCCCCCACACACAUACCCAAACACACCCCACACACACACCCAAACACACCCCACACACACACCCAAACACACCCCACACACACACCCAAACACACCCCACACACACACCCAAACACCCCACACACACACCCAAACACCCCACACACACACACCCAAACACCCCACACACACAUACCCAAACACCCCACACACACAUACCCAAACACCCCACACACACAUACCCAAACACCCCACACACACAUACCCAAACACCCCACACACAUAUACCCAAACACCCCACACACAUACCCAAGCACACCCCACACACACACCCAAACACCCCCCCACACACACACCCAAACACCCCCCCACACACACCCAAACACCCCCCCACACACAUACCCAAACACCCCCCCACACACAUACCCAAACACCCCACACACACAUACCCAAACACCCCACACACACAUACCCAAACACACCCCACCCACACACAUACCCAAACACACCCCACCCAAACACACCCAAACACACCCCACCCAAACACACCCAAACACCCCCCACACACAUACCCAAACACACCCCACACACAUACCCAAACACACCCCACACACACACCCAAACACCCCACACACACACCCAAACACCCCACACACACACCCAAACACCCCACACACACACACCAAACACCCCACACACACAUACCCAAACACCCCACACACACAUACCCAAACACCCCACACACACAUACCCAAACACCCCACACACAUAUACCCAAACACCCCACACACAUACCCAAGCACACCCCACACACACACCCAACACCCCCCCACACACACACCCAAACACCCCCCCACACACACCCAAACACCCCCCCACACACAUACCCAAACACCCCACACACACAUACCCAAACACCCCACACACACAUACCCAAACACCCCACACACACAUACCCAAACACACCCCACACACACAUACCCAAACACCCCCCACACACAUACCCAAACACCCCACACACACAUACCCAAACACCCCACACACACACACCCAAACACCCCCCCACACACAUACCCAAACACCCCCCCACACACAUACCCAAACACCCCCCCACACACAUACCCAAACACCCCCCCACACACAUACCCAAACACACCCCCACACACACACCCAAACACACCCCCACACACACACACCCAAACACCCCCCCACACACAUACCCAAACACCCCACACACACAUACCCAAACACCCCACACACACAUACCCAAACACCCCACACACACAUACCCCAAACUCCCCACACACACAUACCCAAACACCCCACACACAUAUACCCAAACACCCCACACACAUACCCAAGCACACCCCACACACACACCCAAACACCCCCCCCCACACACACCCAAACACCCCCCCACACACACCCCAAACACCCCCCACACACAUACCCAAACACCCCCCCCACACACAUACCCAAACACACCCCACCCACACACAUACCCAAACACACCCCACCCAAACACACCCAAACACACCCCACCCAAACACCCACCCACACACAUACCCAAACACACCCCACACACACACCCAAACACACCCCACACACACACCCAAACACCUCACACCCACACCCAAACACCCCACACACACACCAAACACCCCACACACACACACCCAACACCCCACACACACAUACCCAAACACCCCACACACACAUACCCAACACCCCACACACAUAUACCCAAACACCCCACACACAUACCCAAGCACACCCCACACACACACACCCAAACACCCCCCCCCCACACACACCCAAACACCCCCCCACACACACCCAAACACCCCCCCACACACAUACCCAAACACCCCACACACACAUACCCAAACCCCCCACACACACAUACCCAAACACACCCCACACACACAUACCCAAACACCCCACACACACAUACCCAAACACCCCACACACACAUACCCAAACACCCCACACACACAUACCCAAACACCCCACACACACAUACCCAACACCCCACACACACAUACCCAAACACCCCACACACACAUACCCAAACACCCCCACACACACAUACCCAAACACCCCACACACACACACCCAAACACCCCACACACACAUACCCAAACACCCCACACACACAUACCCAAACACCCCACACACACAUACCCAAACACACCCCACCCACACACAUACCCAAACACACCCCACCCAAACACACCCAAACACACCCCACACACACACCCAAACACCCCCCCACACACAUACCCAAACACACCCCACACACACACCCAAACACACCCCACACACACACCCAAAGACCUCACACACACACCCAAACACCCCACACACACACCCAAACACCCCACACACACACACCCAAACACCCCACACACACAUACCCAAACACCCCACACACACAUACCCAAACACCCCACACACAUAUACCCAAACACCCCACACACAUACCCAAGCACACCCCACACACACACCCAAACACCCCCCCCACACACACACCCAAACACCCCCCCCACACACACCCAAACACCCCCCCACACACAUACCCAAAACACCCCACACACACAUACCCAAACACACCCCACACACACAUACCCAAACACCCCACACACACAUACCCAAACACCCCACACACACAUACCCAAACACCCCACACACACAUACCCAAACACCCCACACACACAUACCCAAACACCCCACACACACAUACCCAAACACCCCACACACACAUACCCAAACACCCCACACACACAUACCCAAACACCCCACACACACACGAACGUACGCUAGGGCUGGGCUAUAUUGCCUAAAACUCAUAUCUCGAUUCUUUCAAAAUUAUGGGCGACAAAAUAUAUAUCUUAAUAAAAAAAUGUUAUGUUUUUUCUACAUGCUUCGUUGUAGGUAAAAUCCAC
ensembl:lncRNA